ensembl:lncRNA
CCAGCAGCUCCAGGCCUUGUUGAUCACGGCACCGUGCCCAAGGAUUACCAUAGCAACGGCAGUGGCAGCAGACAGUGCAGUGUGUGUGUGUGGUUAUAUGUAUGUGUGUGUGCGUGCUUCUAGUAUUUUACAGAAAUAAAAGUGUGUGUAGUAAUGCAUUCAGAUCCUGACCUUGAACAGGUAUGGUGGUCACUAGUGACAGUAUUGAUGUAGUCAGUAGUUACAGUAUUGUGGUCAGUUGUAACAGCAUGGUGUUCAGUAAUAGUAUGGUGGUCAGUAGUAACAGUUUGGUGGUCAGUAACAGUAUGGUGGUCAGUAGUGACAGUAUGGUGGUCAGUAGUGACAGUUUGGUGGUCAGUAGUAACAGUUUGGUGGUCAGUAGCAGUAUGGUGGUCAGUAACAGUAUGGUGGUCAGUAACAGUAUGGUGGUCAGUAGCAGUAUGGUGGUCAGUAGCAGUAUGGUGGUGGUAUUCAGUAGGAUGGUCAGUAGUAACAAUAUGGUGGUCAUUAACAGUAUGGUGUUCAGCAGUAACAGUAUUGUGGUCCAUAGUGACAGUAUGGUGGUCAGUAGUAAGAGAAUUAAUAUGGUCAGUAGUUACAGUAUUAUAAUCAGUAGUUCAAGAAUUGUGGUCAGUCGCUAUAGUUUGGUGGUCUGUAGCAGACAGUAUGGUGGUCAGUAGUAACAGUAUGGUGGUCUGUAGCAGUAUGGUGGUCAGUUGUAACAGUAUGGUGGUCAGUAACAGUAUGGUGGUCAGUAGUAACAGUAUGGUGGUCAGUAACAGUAUGGUGGUCAGUAGUAACAGUAUGGUGGGACAUAACAGUAUGGUAGUCAGUAACAGUAUGGUGGUCAGUAGUAACAGUAUG